CAAUGUAAUUUAAUAAGCAAUUGAAAUCCGCUCCCUUGCAAUCUGGAAAGUCGAAUGGAAGUCAACUUUACUAACGACUAAGCUAUCGCUACCGAUCCCUACUCCCACUCCAGAUCCUGCCAGACCGUACGUUGUCCAUGACCGAUUGAUAGGGUAACGGUGGGCAGAACGGUACGUUUUUAUCCGUGAGUGACAAUAUUCGGCGCACGGAAUGUUCCGCGAUUUUGUUUUGCGGAUUGUACGUGUAAAAUUUUGAAAGCUUUAAAAGGUUUUGAAUCCGAGAUCCGUAGUUGUGAAUGGCACUGUUAUUUGUGUUUAGGUCUUUAGGGACAGUUAAGGACCCGUGACGGGAUUCACGGCUUAAUGCCAGUAGCAAAGGAAACAUGCUUUAAUAGAAAAAAGAAAUGUGUGUAUUGCCGUCAGAAGUUGUGUUUGUAACGUGUUCAAAUCAAUAGUAUCAGUUUCUGUUUGUUUACAUGUUCGAAUAGGCCAUUCGAUUCUGUCGCAGAUUGUCGCUUGGAGUAAACGGCUGUAUCUUUAGUGGUGUAGUUCGUACGGUACAGUGGAAGUGGCCAGUGCAUCUUUUUGUGAUAGUAUUUUAUUCCACUUUAAGCAACAUCCGAAUCAUGGCAACGUUAGAAAGAUUAGUAAAAUCAUUAGAAUCCCUCAAGCUGCUGUAGUUAUCCCAGUCACUGUCGGAAGAAACGUCAUUAAGGAGAAAGGAGAAAAUAAGUCAUUGUUUGGCAAUAGCAGAUGCAAUGUGCAACUCUGGAGUGAAAGGGGCACCGAACUUUUCCCACCUUCUGAGCAUUGCUAUAGAGAUACUACUUCAGCUCUGUGAUGACUCUCAUUCGGAUGUCCGUAUGAUAGCAGAUGAAAGCUUGAACAGAGUCAUCAGGGCAAUGGCAGACAACAAUGUAGUGAAAAUUCAAGUUGAACUGCAUAAGGAAAUUAAGAAGAAUGGAAAUCCUCGUUCUUUGAGAGCUGCACUUUGGAGAUUUGCAGAACUCUGCCAUUUGAUUCGACCACAGAAAGGCAAGCCAUAUGUGGUGAAUCUCAUACCAUGUAUUAUUCACAUUGCUCAACGUACUGAAGAACCUGUUUUGGAGACAUUAGCUGCUGCCAUGCCAAAAAUAUUUAAGGCACUUGGAAAUUUCACUUCUGACAUUGAUAUGAAGGGUCUUCUGAAAGCCUUCCUGCAAAAUCUGUCUUCAAGUUCUGCAGUGGUCCGAAGAACUGCUGCAGCAAGUAUUUUAACUGUGUGUCUGAAUUGUAGGAACCCACAUGUCUUCAUCUCCUAUAUUCUCAACACUAUACUUGAUGUUGCAGCCAGCAUGGCAGGAGUGAUAGCAGCAGUUUGAUUUGUAAUUGACAUGAAUCAGGCAGGCAGUCACCAAAUCAGUAUUGCAAAGUACAGUGUUACUAAGUUUAUUCUUUAUUGACUGUGUUAUUCCAAUACGAGAGGGGCAGUCUGUCUCUACAGUACUGGGAGUUCUUGGAUGUUUGCGUAGCAUUUUUCCACAUGUGUCUGUUGGAGAAGGAGGGGAAGAAGAGAUGAGAGGCAGCUUUGGAGUGCGUAGAUGUCAUCAGGAAGCACCUUUGGCUGUUGAUCGAAUGAUUCAGGUGGUAUAGAUGGUGUUUACUGGAUUUAUCUUGUUCAGGAUAGGGGUCAGUGGUAUGCUUCUGUGGGCUCAGUAAUAAACUUUCAGAAUCUGUAGAAGGUGGGAAAUUUUCUUAUUAGCUGAACCAUUAUUAGCCUCACAGAAAAGACUUAUUCCAUUGGAUUAGUUAAUGGCAUAUUGCUUGUCUGAAUUCAUGCAGCCGCAAUGAGCACAAUACAUGAUAAACAUAGAAAUUUUGGGG